rnacentral:rRNA from 1 species
AGUGAACGCUGGCGGUAGGCCUAACACAUGCAAGUCGAACGGCAGCACAGUAAGAGCUUGCUCUUACGGGUGGCGAGUGGCGGACGGGUGAGGAAUACAUCGGAAUCUACUUUUUCGUGGGGGAUAACGUAGGGAAACUUACGCUAAUACCGCAUACGACCUACGGGUGAAAGCAGGGGACCUUCGGACCUUGCGCGAUUGAAUGAGCCGAUGUCGGAUUAGCUAGUUGGCGGGGUAAAGGCCCACCAAGGCGACGAUCCGUAGCUGGUCUGAGAGGAUGAUCAGCCACACUGGAACUGAGACACGGUCCAGACUCCUACGGGAGGCAGCAGUGGGGGAUAUUGGACAAUGGGCGCAAGCCUGAUCCAGCCAUACCGCGUGGGUGAAGAAGGCCUUCGGGUUGUAAAGCCCUUUUGUUGGGAAAGAAAAGCAGCAGGUUAAUACCCCGCUGUUCUGACGGUACCCAAAGAAUAAGCACCGGCUAACUUCGUG